UACGUAGGGUGCAAGCGUUAAUCGGAAUUACUGGGCGUAAAGCGUGCGCAGGCGGUUUUGUAAGUUUGUCGUGAAAUCCCCGGGCUCAACCUGGGAAUUGCGAUGAAGACUGCAAGGCUAGAAUCUGGCAGAGGGGGGUAGAAUUCCACGUGUAGCAGUGAAAUGCGUAGAGAUGUGGAGGAACACCGAUGGCGAAGGCAGCCCCCUGGGUCAAGAUUGACGCUCAUGCACGAAAGCGUGGGAGCAAACAGG
rnacentral:rRNA from 1 species